GAUGAACGCUGGCGGCGUGCCUAAUACAUGCAAGUCGAGCGAACAGAUGAGGAGCUUGCUCCUCUGACGUUAGCGGCGGACGGGUGAGUAACACGUGGAUAACCUACCUAUAAGACUGGGAUAACUUCGGGAAACCGGAGCUAAUACCGGAUAAUAUAUUGAACCGCAUGGUUCAAUAGUGAAAGACGGUUUUGCUGUCACUUAUAGAUGGAUCCGCGCCGCAUUAGCUAGUUGGUAAGGUAACGGCUUACCAAGGCAACGAUGCGUAGCCGACCUGAGAGGGUGAUCGGCCACACGGGAACGGAGACACGGUCAAGACUCCUACGGGAGGCAGCAGUAGGGAAUCUUACGCAAUGGGCGAAAGCCUGACGGAGCAACGCCGCGUGAGUGAUGAAGGUCUUCGGAUCGUAAAACUCUGUUAUUAGGGAAGAACAAAUGUGUAAGUAACUAUGCACGUCUUGACGGUACCUAAUCAGAAAGCCACGGCUAACUACGUG
rnacentral:rRNA from 1 species